rnacentral:rRNA from 1 species
GAGCGCUGGAGGCGUGCCUAAUACAUGNAAGGCGAGCCGAUAGGAUUAAGAGCUUGCUCUUAUGAAGUUAGCGGCGGACGGGUGAGUAACACGUGGGUAACCUGCCCAUAAGACUGGGAUAACUCCGGGAAACCGGGGCUAAUACCGGAUAACAUUUUGAACCGCAUGGUUCGAAAUUGAAAGGCGGCUUCGGCUGUCACUUAUGGAUGGACCCGCGUCGCAUUAGCUAGUUGGUGAGGUAACGGCUCACCAAGGCAACGAUGCGUAGCCGACCUGAGAGGGUGAUCGGCCACACUGGGACUGAGACACGGCCCAGACUCCUACGGGAGGCAGCAGUAGGGAAUCUUCCGCAAUGGACGAAAGUCUGACGGAGCAACGCCGCGUGAGUGAUGAAGGCUUUCGGGUCGUAAAACUCUGUUGUUAGGGAAGAACAAGUGCUAGUUGAAUAAGCUGGCACCUUGACGGUACCUAACCAGAAAGCCACGGCUAACUACGUGCCAGCAGCCGCGGUAAUACGUAAGUGGCAAGCGUUAUCCGGAAUUAUUGGGCGUAAAGCGCGCGCAGGUGGUUCUUUAGUUCUGAUGUGAAAGCCCACGCUCACC